UUUCAUUAAGCGGAGGAAAAGAAACCAACAGGGACUGCCUUAGUAGCGGCGAGUGAAGCGGCAAAAGCUCAAAUUUGAAAUCUGGCUCUUUCAGAGUCCGAGUUGUAAUUUGAAGAAGGUAUCUUUGGGUCUGGCUCUUGUCUAUGUUUCUUGGAACAGAACGUCACAGAGGGUGAGAAUCCCGUGCGAUGAGAUGAUCCAGGCCUAUGUAAAGUUCCUUCGAAGAGUCGAGUUGUUUGGGAAUGCAGCUCUAAGUGGGUGGUAAAUUCCAUCUAAAGCUAAAUAUUGGCGAGAGACCGAUAGCGAACAAGUACAGUGAUGGAAAGAUGAAAAGAACUUUGAAAAGAGAGUGAAAAAGUACGUGAAAUUGUUGAAAGGGAAGGGCUUGAGAUCAGACUUGGUAUUUUGUAUGUUACUUCUUCGGGGGUGGCCUCUACAGUUUAUCGGGCCAGCAUCAGUUUGGGCGGUAGGAGAAUUGCGUUGGAAUGUGGCACGGCUUCGGUUGUGUGUUAUAGCCUUCGUCGAUACUGCCAGCCUAGACUGAGGACUGCGGUUUAUACCUAGGAUGUUGGCAUAAUGAUCUUAAGUCGCCCGUCUUGAAACCACG
rnacentral:rRNA from 1 species